UACAGAGGUCUCAAGCGUUGUUCGGAUUCAUUGGGCGUAAAGGGUGCGUAGGCGGCGCGGUAAGUCGGGUGUGAAAUCUUGGAGCUUAACUCCGAAACUGCAUUCGAUACUGCCGUGCUUGAGGACUAGAGAGGAGACUGGAAUUUACGGUGUAGCGGUGAAAUGCGUAGAUAUCGUAAGGAAGACCAGUGGCGAAGGCGGGUCUCUGGACAGUUCCUGACGCUGAGGCACGAAGGCCAGGGGAGCAAACGGG
rnacentral:rRNA from 1 species